GGGGGGUUAGCUCAGUCGGUUAGAGCAGCGGACUCAUAAUCCGCCGGUCGUGGGUUCAAGCCCCACACUCCCCA
rnacentral:tRNA from 1 species